rnacentral:rRNA from 1 species
UACGUAGGAUGCGAGCGUUAAUCGGAAUUACUGGGCGUAAAGCGUGCGCAGGCGGUUAUGUAAGACAGAGGUGAAAUCCCCGGGCUCAACCUGGGAACUGCCUUUGUGACUGCAUGACUAGAGUACGGCAGAGGGGGAUGGAAGUCCGCGUGUAGCAGUGAAAUGCGUAGAUAUGCGGAGGAACACCGAUAGCGAAGGCAAUCCCCUGGCCCUGUACUGACGCUCAUGCACGAAAGCGUGGGGAGCAAACAGG